GUACUUCCGACGAGUCCCAGACUAGGACAAAACAGCUGUUCAGUAC
rnacentral:hammerhead_ribozyme from 1 species